rnacentral:misc_RNA from 1 species
AACGCACAUUGCGCCCCCUGGUAUUCCGGGGGGCAUGCCUGUCCGAGCGUCAUUGCAACCCUCAAGCGCGGCUUGUGUGUUGGGCGUCGUCUUCCUCCAGGGGGACGGGCCCGAAAGGCAGUGGCGGCGUCCCGACGGGUGCCUGAGCGAAUGGGCUGAAACUGUCCGCUCAAGAGGCCCUGGCGGGCGCCGGUCGAACGAAUUUCUCUCCGGUUGACCUCGGAUCAGGUAGGGAUACCCGCUGAACUUAA